rnacentral:rRNA from 1 species
AUUGAACGCUGGCGGCAGGCCUAACACAUGCAAGUCGAACGAGUGGCGGACGGGUGAGUAAUGUCUGGGAAACUGCCCGAUGGAGGGGGAUAACUACUGGAAACGGUAGCUAAUACCGCAUACCAUCGGAUGUUCCCAGAUGGGAUUAGCUAGUAGGUGGGGUAACGGCUCACCUAGGCGACGAUCCCUAGCUGGUCUGAGAGGAUGACGAGGCACACUGUAACUAAGAGACGGACCAGAGUCCAAAGGGAGGCAGCGGUGGGGAAUAUGGCACAAUGGGGGCAAGACUGUUGCAGCAAUGACGCGUGUAUGAAGAAGGCCUUCGAGUUGUAUAGUACAUUCAGCGAGAAGACGUUACUCGCAGAAGAAGCACCGGCUAACUCCGUGCCAGCAGCCGCGGUAAUAC